CGGUUGAUCCUGCCGGAGGCCAUUGCUAUCGGAGUCCGACUUAGCCAUGCUAGUCGCACGAGUUCAUACUCGUGGCAUAUAGCUCAGUAACACGUGGCCAAACUACCCUAUGGACAGAGAUACUCUCGGGAAACUGAGGCUAAUCUCUGAUACAGCUUCCACGUUGGAAUUGCAGGAAGCUGGAAACGCUCCGGCGCCAUAGGAUGUGGCUGCGGCCGAUUAGGUAGACGGUGGGGUAACGGCCCACCGUGCCAGUAAUCGGUACGGGUGAUGAGAGUCAGAGCCCGGAGACGGUAUCUGAGACAAGAUACCGGGCCCUACGGGGCGCAGCAGGCGCGAAACCUUUACACUGCACGACAGUGCGAUAGGGGGACUCCGAGUGCGAGGGCAUAUAGUCCUCGCUUUUCUGUACCGUAAGGUGGUACAGGAACAAGUGCUGGGCAAGACCGGUGCCAGCCGCCGCGGUAAUACCGGCAGCACAAGUGAUGGCCGAUAUUAUUGGGCCUAAAGCGUUCGUAGCCGGCCGGACAAGUUCGUUGGGAAAUCCACGCGCUCAACGCGUGGGCGUCCAGCGAAUACUGUCUGGCUUGGGGCCGGAAGACUCGAGGGGUACGUCCGGGGUAGGAGUGAAAUCCCGUAAUCCUGGACGGACCGCCGAUGGCGAAAGCACCUCGAGAGGACGGACCCGACGGUGAGGGACGAAAGCCAGGGUCUCGAACCGGAUUAGAUACCCGGGUAGUCCUGGCCGUAAACGAUGUUCGCUAGGUGUGGCGCAGGCUACGAGCCUGCGCUGUGCCGUAGGGAAGCCGUGAAGCGAACCGCCUGGGAAGUACGUCUGCAAGGAUGAAACUUAAAGGAAUUGGCGGGGGAGCACUACAACCGGAGGAGCCUGCGGUUUAAUUGGAUUCAACGCCGGG
rnacentral:rRNA from 1 species